UGCAAGUCGAGCGGCAGCACAAGGAAACUUUACUCCUGAUGUGGCGAGCGGGGGGCGGGUGAGAAAUGCCUAGGGAUCUGCCCAGUCGAGGGGGAUAACAGUUGGAAACGACUGCUUACACCGUAUACGCCCUACGGGGGAAAGAGGGGGACCUUCGGGCCUCUCUCGAUUGGAUGAACCUAGGUGGGAUUAGCUAGUUGGGGAGGUAAUGGCUCACCAAGGCGACGAUCCCUAGCUGUUCUGAGAGGAUGAUCAGCCACACUGGGACUGACACACGGCCCUCACUCCUACGGGAGGCAGCAGUGGGGAAUAUUGCACAAUGGGGGAAACCCUGAUGCAUCCAUGCCGCGUGUGUGAAGAAGGCCUUCGGGUUGUAAAGCACUGUCAGUAGGGAGGAAAAGGGUGAGUCUACAUACGGCUCAUCUGUGACGUUACCUACAGAAACACGGACCGGACUAACUCCGUGCCAGC
rnacentral:rRNA from 1 species